GAGAAGAACGUAGCGAAAUGCGAUAAGUAAUGUGAAUUGCAGAAUUCAGUGAAUCAUCGAAUCUUUGAACGCACAUUGCGCCCCUUGGUAUUCCGAGGGGCAUGCCUGUUCGAGCGUCAUUAUAACCCCUCAAGCUUAGCUUGGUGUUGGGGCCUGCUGUAAUAGAGCAGCCCUUAAAAUCAGUGGCGGUGCCAUUAGGCUCUAAGCGUAGUAAUUCUUCUCGCUAUAGGGUUCUGGUGGAUGCUUGCCAUUAACCUCUAAUUUUCUAUGGUUGACCUCGGAUCAGGUAGGGAUACCCGCUGAACUUAAGCAUAUCAAUAAGCGGAGGA
rnacentral:misc_RNA from 1 species